UACGUAGGGUGCGAGCGUUGUCCGGAUUUAUUGGGCGUAAAGAGCUCGUAGGCGGCUCGUCGCGUCGACCGUGAAAACCCGCGGCUUAACUGCGGGCUUGCGGUUGAUACGGGCGGGCUAGAGUUCGGUAGGGGAGACUGGAAUUCCUGGUGUAGCGGUGAAAUGCGCAGAUAUCAGGAGGAACACCGGUGGCGAAGGCGGUUCUCUGGGCAUGUCCUGACGCUGAGGAGCGAAAGUGUGGGGAGCGAACAGG
rnacentral:rRNA from 1 species